rnacentral:rRNA from 1 species
UACGAAGGGGGCUAGCGUUGCUCGGAAUCACUGGGCGUAAAGCGCACGUAGGCGGGUCUUUAAGUCAGGGGUGAAAUCCUGGAGCUCAACUCCAGAACUGCCUUUGAUACUGGGGAUCUCGAGUCCGGAAGAGGUGAGUGGAACUCCGAGUGUAGAGGUGAAAUUCGUAGAUAUUCGGAAGAACACCAGUGGCGAAGGCGGCUCACUGGUCCGGUACUGACGCUGAGGUGCGAAAGCGUGGGGAGCAAACAGG